rnacentral:rRNA from 1 species
GAAUUCGAUUCGGUGUGACAAGGCCCGGGAACGUAUUCACCGCGGCGUGCUGAUCCGCGAUUACUAGCGAUUCCAACUUCAUGGAGUCGAGUUGCAGACUCCAAUCCGAACUGAGAGCGGCUUUUUGGGAUUAGCUCCCCCUCGCGGGUUUGCGACCCUUUGUACCGCCCAUUGUAGCACGUGUGUGGCCCUGGACAUAAGGGCCAUGAUGACUUGACGUCGUCCCCACCUUCCUCCGGCUUAACGCCGGCAGUCUCCUUAGAGUGCCCAACUGAAUGGUGGCAACUAAGGACGAGGGUUGCGCUCGUUGCGGGACUUAACCCAACACCUCACGGCACGAGCUGACGACAGCCAUGCAGCACCUGAACCGGCAGUCCCCGAAGGGAAGAUCCUAUUUCUAGGACGGUCCGCCGUUGUCUAGCCCAGGUAAGGUUCUUCGCGUUAAUCACUA